rnacentral:rRNA from 1 species
UACGUAGGGGGGCAAGCGUUUGUCCGGAUUUACUGGGCGUAAAGAGCGUGUAGGCGGCCAAACAGGUCCGUUGUGAAAACUGGAGGCUCAACCUCCAGACGUCGACGGAAACCGUGUGGCUAGAGUCCGGAAGAGGAGAGUGGAAUUCCUGGUGUAGCGGUGAAAUGCGCAGAUAUCAGGAAGAACACCAAUGGCGAAGGCAGCUCUCUGGGACGGUACUGACGCUGAGACGCGAAAAGCGUGGGGAGCGAACAGG